rnacentral:rRNA from 1 species
UACGUAGGGGGCAAGCGUUGUCCGGAUUUAUUGGGCGUAAAGAGCGUGUAGGCGGCCAUACAGGUCAGCUGUGAAAACUCGAGGCUCAACCUCGAGACGUCGGUUGAAACCGUAUGGCUAGAGUCCGGAAAGAGGGAGAGUGGGAAAUUCCCGGGUGUAGCGGGUGAAAAUGCGCAGAUAUCGGGGAAAGAAACACCCUAUGGGCGGAAAGGGCAGCUCUCUGGGGA